rnacentral:rRNA from 1 species
AUGAACCYGAAUAUCUGAUGUGAGAAAUUCAAUAUUAUUUAAUGUGAUUCAUUUUUGAAAUUAUGUUAAAUAGUAUGCACUUUUCUCAUAGUAAGACAUUGUAAUCCAUUGAUAUUAUAUCUUUAUUUGUUUAAAGAUGAUUUAACAUACGGACAAAAUGUAUAUGAUUAUUCUAUAAAUGAUAUGUUUUACAUGUCAUAUGAAUAAAAUCGUUUUGUACCUGUUUAAAUAGUCGAUGGAUUUUUUAAUUAAAAUCAUGCUUGCAAUUUAUUUUGCGUUUCGUAUCAUUAAUUUUUAAUUGAUGAUAGUAGAAAUGGCAUGUAUUUGAUUAACAAUGCGAUAGAUUUGGGAUGCCUUCGGGACCCGUCUUGA